rnacentral:rRNA from 1 species
CCUACGGGAGUCAGCAGUGGGGGAUAUUGCACAAUGGGGGAAACCCUGAUGCAGCGACGCCGCGUUUGGGAAGACGGUCCUCUGGAUUGUAAACCACUGUCCCCAGGGACGAAGAUGACGGUACCUGGGGAGGAAGCUCCGGCUAACUACGUGCCAGCAGCCGCGGUAAUACGUAGGGAGCGAGCGUUGUUCGGAAUUACUGGGUGGAAAGGGAGCGUAGGCGGGACUGCAAGUUGGGUGUCAAAUCUACCGGCUCAAGCGGUAGCCGCACGCAAAACUGCAGUUCUUGAGUGAAGUAGAGGCAGGCGGAAUUCCUAGUGUAGCGGUGAAAUGAGUAGAUAUUAGGAGGAACCCCAGUGGCGAAGGCGGGCUGCUGGGCUUUUACUGACGCUGAGGCUCGAAAGUGUGGGGAGCAAACAGGAUUAGAUACCCGUGUAGUC